AUUGAACGCUGGCGGCAUGCCUUACACAUGCAAGUCGAACGGUAACGGGCCUUCGGGUGCCGACGAGUGGCGAACGGGUGAGUAAUGCAUCGGAACGUACCUUUCAGUGGGGGAUAACGUAGCGAAAGUUACGCUGAUACCGCAUAUUCUGUGAGCAGGAAAGCAGGGGAUCGCAAGACCUUGCGCUGAUUGAGCGGCCGAUGUCAGAUUAGCUAGUUGGUGAGGUAAAGGCUCACCAAGGCGACGAUCUGUAGCGGGUCUGAGAGGAUGAUCCGCCACACUGGAACUGAGACACGGUCCAGACUCCUACGGGAGGCAGCAGUGGGGAAUUUUGGACAAUGGGGGCAACCCUGAUCCAGCCAUGCCGCGUGAGUGAAGAAGGCCUCGGUUGUAAG
rnacentral:rRNA from 1 species